rnacentral:rRNA from 1 species
UACGUAGGGUGCAGGCGUUAAUCGGAAUUACUGGGCGUAAAGCGUGCGCAGGCGGUCUGCUAAGAGAGAUGUGAAAUCCCCGGGCUUAACCUGGGAACUGCGUUUCUAACUGGCAGGCUUGAGUGUGGCAGAGGGGGGUGGAAUUCCGACGUGUAGCAGUGAAAUGCGUAGAGAUGUGGAGGAACACCGAUGGCGAAGGCAGCCCCCUGGGCUAACACUGACGCUCGAUGCACGAAAGCGUGGGGAGCAAACAGG